GAUCAUGGUUCAGGAUGAACGCUAGCGGCAGGCCUAAUACAUGCAAGUCGAGGGGUAGUGGAAGCUUGCUUCCAUGAGACCGGCGCACGGGUGCGUAACGCGUAUGCAACCUACCUCUAUCUGGGGGAUAGCCCGGAGAAAUCCGGAUUAACACCGCAUAAAAUCACAGUACGGCAUCGUACAAUGAUCAAAUAUUUAUAGGAUAGGGAUGGGCAUGCGUGUCAUUAGUUAGUUGGCGGGGUAACGGCCCACCAAGACCACGAUGACUAGGGGAUCUGAGAGGAUGGCCCCCCACACUGGUACUGAGACACGGACCAGACUCCUACGGGAGGCAGCAGUAAGGAAUAUUGGUCAAUGGAGGCAACUCUGAACCAGCCAUGCCGCGUGCAGGAAGACGGCCCUCUGGGUUGUAAACUGCUUUUAUUCGAGAAUAAACCUGCUUACGUGUAAGUAGCUGAAUGUACCGAAGGAAUAAGGAUCGGCUAACUCCGUG
rnacentral:rRNA from 1 species